rnacentral:lncRNA from 1 species
CUACCGGAAUCAGAAGUAAAUCCAACACCGACGACAUUACGGUAACAACUUGUGUUGAAUCUAUGUGCUUGUUUUCUUUCGAUGAGGUGUUGACCAAAUUACUACUGUUUAUGCUGUGAUUUUUUUUUAGAAUAUAGUAUUUGGUGUUGUAAAUAUUGUUUCCAGCUUAUACUGUUUCUUUUGAGAUGAAGGAAGCAUAUGAUUUAUUUGAUGAACAUUAGCUUUGGA